rfam:Myotis brandtii contig252941, whole genome shotgun sequence.
GCCAUUGUGGCUCAGUGGUUGAGCACUGACCCAUGAAUCAAGGGGUCCCAGGUUCAAUUCCUGGUCAGGGCA